GUUUUAUAAGAAUUUUUAGGAUAGCUGCUUUUGUCUUAAUGGACAUAACUGAGUUAUUCUUUUUUCGCCCCAGGGAUUUGAGCUUCAACAAUUUAACUGGACAGAUACCAGACUCACUGUUUAACUUGAGUUCGCUCUCUAUUCUGUUUCUUGGAAACAAUAAGUUGCCCUGCCUGAAUCUAAAAGUUCGUCUCUUCUCAACAUAGAUUUAUCAUACAACAAUCUACUGGGGAGCUUUCCUUCAUGGGUCAACGGAGAAAAGUUAAAGCUUAAUUUAAUCGCCAACAAC